GACGAACGCUGGCGGCGUGCCUAAUACAUGCAAGUAGAACGCUGAAGGAGGAGCUUGCUCUUCUGGAUGAGUUGCGAACGGGUGAGUAACGCGUAGGUAACCUGCCUGGUAGCGGGGGAUAACUAUUGGAAACGAUAGCUAAUACCGCAUAACAGUAGAUGUUGCAUGACAUUUGCUUAAAAGGUGCAAUUGCACCACUACCAGAUGGACCUGCGUUGUAUUAGCUAGUUGGUGGGGUAACGGCUCACCAAGGCGACGAUACAUAGCCGACCUGAGAGGGUGAUCGGCCACACUGGGACUGAGACACGGCCCAGACUCCCACGGGAGGCAGCAGUAGGGAAUCUUCGGCAAUGGACGGAAGUCUGACCGAGCAACGCCGCGUGAGUGAAGAAGGUUUUCGGAUCGUAAAGCUCUGUUGUAAGAGAAGAACGAGUGUGAGAGUGGAAAGUUCACACUGUGACGGUAUCUUACCAGAAAGGGACGGCUAACUACGUG
rnacentral:rRNA from 1 species